GACGAACGCUGGCGGCGUGCUUAACACAUGCAAGUCGAACGGAAAGGCCCUGCUUUUGUGGGCUGCUCGAUUGGCGAACGGGUGAGUAACACGUGAGUAACCUGCCCUUGACUUUGGGAUAACUUCAGGAAACUGGGGCUAAUACCGGACAGGAGCUCCUGCUGCAUGGUGGGGGUUGGAAAGUUUCGGCGGUUGGGGCUGGACUGGCGGCUUAUCAGCUUGUUGGUGGGGUAGUGGCUUACCAAGGCUUUGACGGGUAGCCGGCAUGAGAGGGUGACCGGCCACAUUGGGACUGAGAGACGGCGCAGACUCCUACGGGAGGCAGCAGUGGGGAAUAUUGCACAAUGGGAGGAAGCCUGAUGCAGCAACGCCGCGGGCGGGAUGACGGCCUUCGGGUUGUAAACCGCUUUCGCCUGUGACGAAGCGUGAGUGACGGUAAUGGGUAAAGAAGCACCGGCUAACUACGUG
rnacentral:rRNA from 1 species